GUCCCAAACUUGAACCUAGAGGAAUGUUACAGCUCUGAAAAAAAGUUAGGGAGCAGCCUUGCAAUUAAGCACUCAGUCACAACAAGAGGGUAAGAACGUUCAAGGCACUGGAUUGAAGAGACACAAAAGUCAGGAAAUGACCCUUUCGUCGGGAUUUCAGAGGCCACAGAGGAGAAACAAAGUCCUCUCACAACUUGGGAAACUUCGGACCGUACCAUCCCGAGGGGGCAGGGGUGGGGGCGGCCGGGAGAGGGCAGUGGAAAUUGACAUCUUCGCUCCCAACGAGCCGUGAGUAAACUGAGGAUUUCCCGGCUGAAAGGACUCAGUGUCUGCCUGUCCCCGGCCCAGAAAUGAAAGCGAGUUUCAGCCCAUCCUCAUUGUGGAGCCUGCUGAAAAAGCAGCCCGGGUCGCCCCGGCCAGCCCCGGCGUCCUGAAUCGGAGCCCUGUGCGCGCCAGGCCGGGCCGCGCGCCCGGGUUGCAGGAUGGCGUGCCCAGGCCAGCCCAUCUGCGGCCGCGGGCCGGCGGGGAGGAAGCGUCCCUGGGGAUGAAUGGGGCUUUGUUCGUAGGCAGCCGCGGCUACCCUCUGCAGGCCCAGCCCGCACAACAGAGGCUGUAUGCGACAGGAAUGGAAAUGAGCCUCAGGCCCUGCCCAAGGAGCCCCAUCCCCUUCCCCGCGCAGCGCUGAGGAAUGCUGGCCAGCCGGAAAGGAACCCUCGCUGGGAACGCCGCUCUCGCGCCUCUGAAACCCCAUUGAGAAGAACCCUUUGAUGCAAUUAAAGCGUAUUUCAUUGCAGGCCUGGGAGGAGGGAACGACCGGCAAGCUUUUUUCUGUCUCGGACGUGUGUGUGCACCUUUGUGGGCCGGGUUACUUCGGGAGCAGGCAGGAACUUGAGCUCCCUCUCUCGCAGACGUUCUGUAACAUCAGAAAAGCGUACCCAGAAACAGAUUGGUUUUCACUAGGGGUGGGACCCAAUCUGGACACCAUCCAGGCUGACCUGCAGGCCGGGGUUCCUACUUUGAAAGGCUCUUUGGUGCGCCUUACACCUACCUUCCCUGCUGUAAAGGUUUAGGCGGAAAAGAAAUUGCGUUUGCAGGAGGAAGUUGUUUCUGAGGUUACCGCUCAGCAUUUUCCAUUUUCUCAGUGGUGGGGUGGGCUGUGUCGCAUAUCCAGAAGUGAUGUCACAGCCAGACCUGCAAAGUGAUGUAACCUGCAAGUGUUGAAGGACGACGAGGGGACAGCUAUUUUGAUACUCGUAUUAUUUUAUAACAUUUCCCUACUUUUUCCAUUGAGACAACUGUGUGACCUCAGAAAAUCCACAUAGCCUCUCUGAGCUUAAUAUUUGUCGUAUGUUAAAGUGAAUAUCACAAAGCCAGACAACGAAUGUCAUGAAGUUCUGAGUGCUUGUGGAAUUCUUUCUAAGUUGGAGGUGGACACUUUAUAUACCUGCACACGUGGAAGAUAUGUGGGACUGGAGUAAACAAAAAGAUCCUAUUGGGACCUCUGUUUGGUUGCCUUUGUGUCACUUUUUACUAGGGCUAAUUGUCUAAUGUGUCUUUCCACUAGUGUAUGCCUCCUUGAGAACGUGAACCUUUAAACAACAACAGCAACAAAACAACAACAACAAACGAAGACAGAGCCUGCACGCUCUCCCAGGCUAGAGUGUAGUGUGCAAUCAUCGCAGCCUACAGUAUCCUGGCCUCAAGCUAUCCUGCCGCCCCACCUUGGCCUCCUGAAGGGCUCCAAUUACAGGAGGGAGCCACUGCACCCAGCCAAACCUGUCUUUUUUUCUGUAUCUCUUGUGCCCAGAGCAGUCCCUGGCCCUGAUAAGGGUUCAACAAAUAUGUCGAAUGAAUGAACGAAUACAUUCAGGAGUGUAGGGAUUGAUACUAACUUGCUGGCUGUUUUCUGUUCCUUAUAAAUCUAAAUAAGAAAUAGGGAGAGCAUAGUAGGUCUUUGGGGUCCUCGGGCGAGGCAUAAGUUCAGGAGAAGUUCGAAGGAAAGGGUUGGAAAACAUUUCUGAGAGCACAAACAUGCUACAAGUGUUUCCUGAAAUGACCCAAAGGAGAGCGCAGCACUCAGGUGGAGGAGUCACUUUUUCCAAAUAAAGAAAUUGAGACAGAAAAUUAGGCAAUUUUCUCACAAUACGUAAGAAGUGGUGCCAGGAAAGAAAUGGAAACCAGGCUGCUUGAAUCUGGAACUCAGAAUACUGUUUGAGAAGGUCCUCCUAAUACUCAACUGAUUUGGGAACCAUCGGGCCCAGUGAUCUCUGAUGCUCCUUCCAACUUGUAGGAUGUGAAUUCUUGUGUUUAGUUAUAUAAGAGAAGGGAGAGCAAGAUGGCCAAAUAGAAGCCUCCAGCAAUUAUACCCCCUACAGGAACAACAAAUUAAGCAACACAAACAAGAAAAUCACCUUCAUAAAAUUGAGAAAUCAGCUAGGAAUGACCAAGGCAAAACUUCCAUCUACUUGCAUCAGAAUGGAGACACAGAUGCGGAUGAUGAAUUAAAGGGACUCAAGGAAGGUCACUAUUCUGCCUUGAAUUUGUUUUCAUGGUUCUCCAAGAAGUGUCUAGAGAUGCGGAAGCUUCAAAGGAGUGUGGAAAGUGUCUGGAAGGAAAGGUGUGCACCUUGGAGCUUUCCUUGGAGUGUAUCAUUGAGCUCUUUGUGUUUGGGUGGUGGGUCUUUGGAAGGUAAGACUUCUGACCUCCGAAGGGGUGGAUCUCCAGAGAGUAGCCUGACUUCCUGAAGGGCAUCCUGGAGAGGCAAGGGUGAGGGAGGCAGAAACCAGAGUUCAUCUUGAUCCUCUAGGAACUUGACCUUGAAGCAGAGGGCUGAGCAGGGCUGAGUAUUUGAAUGGAAGAAGAGGUGCACUUUGAGUGUGGCACUGAGAUUCUAAGCAUAGAACACUGUUAUCUGCACUUAACACUGAAGAAUGAAAUCCACCUGCCUCAGCAAACCACAUAGGGUGAACAAGAUCUUGAAUUACAUAGAAGGUAACCAUACAUCCUGGUUUUCUGAAACAGUCCUGGCUAAUGUCUCUUGUCCUGGCAUAAUUAUUAACAGCAUUCCUUUUUAUUAUCAAAAGUGUCUCAAUUUGUACAAUAAAUUACUUGACCAUUUUGUGUAGGAUCAGUUUUCAAUAGUGACAUUAUGUGUUCUCACAAAGCAAUGGCAGUGGACCAAGGUGUCCCAGGUUGACUCCUGGCUGGUGUGA